AAUCAAGUAUGCAUAUGCAUUAAAAACAACUGAUAUAAGGUAAGUAUGUAUAGUAAGUGUUUGCAUUUGUAGGGUUCGGCAUUGACUCAUUGCCCCCCACCUGCAGGGUCCUAUAAGAAAGGUCGUUGAAACAUUAUUGUUUAACAAACACUUCUCAAACUAUUGUGUGAAGACGUAAGAAAAAAGUCUGUAGAUAAUAUGGUUGUGAGUUUUUCAAAGCUUUUGUUCCUGUUUAUCCAUGUGAUAUUGGCAAGGACUAGUUUUGGAGUAGGAGAUGAUCAAAAGCUAGCAAAAAAGUUUGAAUAUCAAAGCGCUCCUCCGAAAAAUGAUAAAAAGGUGGAUUUGAAUUUCAAAAACGCUUACCCGAACACUUUUCAAUACCAUAAUGGACUUUCAUCAAUUUUUCCCGAAAUUCAAGAUGAAAAGUUUGGCGGCUUCAAUGAAAAACAAACUUUUCCAAG